AUUAAAUUUAUAUUAAGAUCCAUUUUGUUACAUCUUGUGAUCAAUUUUAUUUGGCAAUCGCCAAUGGCAGUCAGCAGGGUUAAAGAACAUCAGUUGUUCGACCUGUUAGUCAAAUGCGUUUUGUUUAAAUAUACUUUUUCACUAUUUUGGUCUUUUGGAAAAUGUUGUUUGUGCUGUAUUUAAACCCUUCUACGACGAAAUUUGUUUUACAUGCACACGUAUAAAAAUU
rnacentral:lncRNA from 1 species